rnacentral:lncRNA from 1 species
AGUCGCACUUCUGCUAAAGAGGGAGGAAGAGCCAUUCGCUGGUGACCCUGUGAUUAAGGAUCCCGCGCCGUCACUGCGGGGGCUUGAGUCGCUGCUGUGGGGCAGGUUUGACCCCUGGCCCGGGAACUUCUGCAUGCUGUGGGUGUGGCCAAAAGGGGGGGUGAAUAACGGGCGAGGGGCGGGGGUGUGUAAAGGCAGCAGAGAUGGGAAUUCCCUUGGUGGCUCAGUGGAUUACACACUGGACUCGUACCCCUGAGGACGCAGGUUCAAUCCCUGGCCGAGCUCCGUGGAUGAAGGAUCUGGCAUUGCCGUGAGCUUGGUGUACAUCACAGAUGCGGCUUGGAUUCAGCAUUGCUGUGGCUGGGGCGAAGGCCGGCAGUUGUAGCUCUGAUUCCACCCCUAGCCUGGGAACUUCCAUAUGCCAUGGCGGUGGCCCUAAAAAGAAAAAAAGAAAAAAAAAAAAAAAAAAAGGCAGCAGAGCUGGACGUUUCGGGACUCUCAGAGGUUGUUUAUGGGCGUGGUGCGCUAUUACUACAGGCCGCACACCCAGACAACACUGUGUGAGGGUUGCUGCUUACCUGGAAACUCCGGGCACCAGGACUCUAACUGCAAGAGUUAGAAGGGGUCCACCCUGGGUAUCUGGCUAUAAUAAGAGCUGGCGGCUGUCUGUGACCCAGGACUCGAGGAAGAGAGCGAACAAAAGGAAGUAUCGAGAAUGCCUGAACCCACGCGAGGACAUAAGGCCAAUCCAGCUACUCCCAGCUAACUUAUAAUUUUAUGCCACACAUGGUGCAGAAGGAUAUACGAAGGAGUUCUGGCUUAACCUCCCACAUUCUCCUCCCUAAAGAUUGAGAAAAACUCUUAGCCAGGGUUGGCUAAGAGAAUGUUCUGGUCUGGUCUGAAGUCUUCUACAUUUUGGGUUUUCAAGUUCCGGCGAUUUUCCUGAGCAUAUUCCACGUAGGUCCUUGGCACAAACCUCCGGCAGCGUUAUGACUCUCCAUGGGAUUGGUUCAAAUGUCACUUCACGCACUAAACAGUCCGUAAUAGUGUCUCUGAGGAGGUCUGCUCUCUGCCCGUGACUCCUGACUCCGGCUUUGCAAAGGGUUUCCUCCCAGAAAGUCUGCAGACCCAUGGUGCUGGUCAGUUGCAUUUGGCUUCUGCCCAUUUGCGUCCGACGAGACAAUACUCAGCUUCUUUGGGUGGCAAGAGUGACCUCUUUACCUGGGACCAUCUUCUGAGGCAGCGCAGGUGUGCUGGGACCCUUCGUGGGUGGUCCCUCAUGAGGUUUUAGGGAGGAACCGCUGGGGGGCUUCCUGUUCACCAUUUCACCCUCAGCAUCGUGGGGCUGAACGUCUUUGGGUGCUAGAGACCCAAAGAAUCCAGGUCCUUAAAAGAAAACCAUCCAGGUGUUCCCUCCUUCCUUCCUUCCUCUGUAAUGGCUGCACCCCCGGCAUACGGAGGUUCCCGGGCUAGGAGCCAAAUCGGAGCUACAGCUGCCGUCCUACGCCACAGCCACAGCAGCACACGGGAUCCCAGCCGCGUCUUCCACCUACACCACAGCUCACGCAGCCCUGGAUCCUUAACCCAUGGAGCGAGGCCAGGGAUCAAACCUGCAUCCUCACGGAGACAACAUCGGGUCCUUCACCUGCUGAGCCACAAUGGGAACUCCCAUCUAGGUUUUGAUAGUCGGGAACUAAAUUCAAUGCAUUGAAUUUCAUUAUCGCGGGAACACCUUUUCGGUGCUGGGUGAUGUAUUAGGAGUCUCACAUACACACGCCCAUCAAGUUCUCAGAAUAUCUUUAUGAGGCAGGUAUUAUAUGCACAUCUUACAGAUGAGGAAACUGAGACAAUUAGUUGGCUUAUACAGAGUCAAGUUCACACAGUCCCUGGGAGAUCAGAUCUAGGACUUAAAAAAAUUGGGGAUGGUUGGUGAAAACAUGUAAAAUUGACCAUCUUAACUAUGUUAAGUUAUACACCAGUAGCGCUACCUCUAUUCACAUAACGUGCAAAAGAUUUCUGGCAUUUUUUCAUCUUGCAAAACUGAAAUUCUAUAUCCACUGAACAAAUCCCCUUCUCCCCUCCCUGCAGCCUCUGGCAACCACUAGGCUACUUUCUGUUUCUGUGAGCUGGACUACUCUGCAUACCGCCUAUAAGUGGAAUCAUACCUACUACUUUUUGUGUGACUGGCUUGUUUCACUGAGUAUAACAUCCUCAAGAACCAUCCAUACUGCAGCAAGUGUCUGACUCCCAUUCCUUUGGUAAUAUUCCAUUGUACUGGCAUAUUUUCUUACAGAUCUAGGAUUUGAAUCCAAGUUUGCGAGGCUCCGAAACUAUCCUAUUUAUGCUCCUUUGUGCCUGCACCACGUCACCUUGUCAGUGCUUUAAGGGGGGAUUGUCAAGUUCACGUACAUUGAAUGCAAGAGAAGCGAGAUGGUGGUGCCCUGGCUCUGUUCCUGGCGCUCUGAGCUCAGGGGUGGAGUGGCAGAGGGCUGACAGGCCCCCCACUGACCUACAGCCUUCUAGGGGGCACCUGUCUUUCUCAUCACACAGAGCCCACCUCCCCAUCCUCUGGUUCACGCC